rnacentral:lncRNA from 1 species
GAUGUAUUUUUGAUGCCUUGCAAAUUUAGUUGGCUAGUUUUUUUUUAAAAAAGUUAAUUAUUUUAAUUAUUUUUCUUUCCUUUUGCUUUUCUUCUGUACCCUUCUUUUUCCUUUCUUAUUCUUUUCUUAUUCUUUUUUCCUUUUCCUUUACUUUGGGUUGUUAUUAGAGUUUAGUGUGGUAAUUGGUGAGUAUACAUUUCUCCGUUGUCGAUUGAAAUGUUAUUUGCAUAAACUGUUGUUAAUUGUAAAACUUCUGUUAAACGGUUGUUCAUUUGUUUCUGUCAAAGUUGGUUUCGACUUGAAUUGUUUGAACUCUGGGUUAAACGAUUAUUUGAUUUCCUUUGUUCUAAGUGUAGAUACCGAAGGUAGUGAUCCCCCUCGUGUUGUUUUG